GAUGAAGAACGUAGCGAAAUGCGAUACGUAGUGUGAAUUGCAGAAUUCAGUGAAUCAUCGAAUCUUUGAACGCACAUUGCACCUCUCGGUAUUCCGGGAGGUAUGCCUGUUCGAGCGUCAUUUGUACCCUCAAGCUCUGCUUGGUGUUGGGUGUUUGUUCCGCCUCUGUGUGUGAACUCGCCUCAAAACAAUUGGCAGCCGGCGUACUUGUUUCGGAGCGCAGCACAUUUUGCGAUCCAGAUCAACGUACAGCGGCAUCCAAGAAGCCUUAUUUAACGCUCUUGACCUCGGUUCAGGUAGGGAUACCCGCUGAACUUAAGCAUAUCAAUAAGCGGAGGA
rnacentral:misc_RNA from 1 species